rnacentral:rRNA from 1 species
UUGACCUCAAAUCAGGUAGGACCA